UUAAGCGACUAAGCGUACACGGUGGAUGCCCUGGCAGUCAGAGGCGAUGAAGGACGUGCUAAUCUGCGAAAAGCGUCGGUAAGGUGAUAUGAACCGUUAUAGCCGGCGAUGUCCGAAUGGGGAAACCCAGUGCAAUUCGUUGCACUAUCGUUAACUGAAUACAUAGGUUAACGAGGCGAACCGGGGGGAACUGAAACAUCUAAGUACCCCGAGGAAAAGAAAUCAACCGAGAUUCCCCCAGUAGCGGCGAGCGAACGGGGAGCAGCCCAGAGUCUGAAUCAGCUUGUGUGUUAGUGGAACGGUCUGGAAAGUCCGACGGUACAGGGUGAUAGUCCCGUACACCAAAAUGCACAGGCUGUGAACUCGAAGAGUAGGGCGGGACACGUGGUAUCCUGUCUGAAUAUGGGGGGACCAUCCUCCAAGGCUAAAUACUCCUGACUGACCGAUAGUGAACCAGUACCGUGAGGGAAAGGCGAAAAGAACCCCGGCGAGGGGAGUGAAAAAGAACCUGAAACCGUGUACGUACAAGCAGUGGGAGCACCUUCGGGUGUGACUGCGUACCUUUUGUAUAAUGGGUCAGCGACUUAUAUUCUGUAGCAAGGUUAACCGUAUAGGGGAGCCGCAGGGAAACCGAGUCUUAACUGGGCGUUAAGUUGCAGGGUAUAGACCCGAAACCCGGUGAUCUAGCCAUGGGCAGGUUGAAGGUUGGGUAACACUAACUGGAGGACCGAACCGACUAAUGUUGAAAAAUUAGCGGAUGACUUGUGGCUGGGGGUGAAAGGCCAAUCAAACCGGGAGAUAGCUGGUUCUCCCCGAAAGCUAUUUAGGUAGCGCCUCGUGAAUUCAUCUUCGGGGUAGAGCACUGUUUCGGCUAGGGGGUCAUCCCGACUUACCAACCCGAUGCAAACUACGAAUACCGAAGAAUGUUAUCACGGGAGACACACGGCGGGUGCUAACGUCCGUCGUGAAGAGGGAAACAACCCAGACCGCCAGCUAAGGUCCCAAAGUCAUGGUUAAGUGGGAAACGAUGUGGGAAGGCACAGACAGCCAGGAUGUUGGCUUAGAAGCAGCCAUCAUUUAAAGAAAGCGUAAUAGCUCACUGGUCGAGUCGGCCUGCGCGGAAGAUGUAACGGGGCUAAACCAUGCACCGAAGCUGCGGCAGCGACACUAUGUGUUGUUGGGUAGGGGAGCGUUCUGUAAGCCUGCGAAGGUGUGCUGUGAGGCAUGCUGGAGGUAUCAGAAGUGCGAAUGCUGACAUAAGUAACGAUAAAGCGGGUGAAAAGCCCGCUCGCCGGAAGACCAAGGGUUCCUGUCCAACGUUAAUCGGGGCAGGGUGAGUCGACCCCUAAGGCGAGGCCGAAAGGCGUAGUCGAUGGGAAACAGGUUAAUAUUCCUGUACUUGGUGUUACUGCGAAGGGGGGACGGAGAAGGCUAUGUUAGCCGGGCGACGGUUGUCCCGGUUUAAGCAUGUAGGCUGGUUAUCCAGGCAAAUCCGGAUAAUCAAGGCUGAGGUGUGAUGACGAGGCACUACGGUGCUGAAGUAACAAAUGCCCUGCUUCCAGGAAAAGCCUCUAAGCAUCAGGUAACAUCAAAUCGUACCCCAAACCGACACAGGUGGUCAGGUAGAGAAUACCAAGGCGCUUGAGAGAACUCGGGUGAAGGAACUAGGCAAAAUGGUGCCGUAACUUCGGGAGAAGGCACGCUGGUGUGUAGGUGAAGCCCCUGCGGGUGGAGCUGAGACCAGUCGAAGAUACCAGCUGGCUGCAACUGUUUAUUAAAAACACAGCACUGUGCAAACACGAAAGUGGACGUAUACGGUGUGACGCCUGCCCGGUGCCGGAAGGUUAAUUGAUGGGGUUAUCCGUAAGGAGAAGCUCUUGAUCGAAGCCCCGGUAAACGGCGGCCGUAACUAUAACGGUCCUAAGGUAGCGAAAUUCCUUGUCGGGUAAGUUCCGACCUGCACGAAUGGCGUAAUGAUGGCCAGGCUGUCUCCACCCGAGACUCAGUGAAAUUGAACUCGCUGUGAAGAUGCAGUGUACCCGCGGCAAGACGGAAAGACCCCGUGAACCUUUACUAUAGCUUGACACUGAACAUUGAGCCUUGAUGUGUAGGAUAGGUGGGAGGCUUUGAAGCGUGGACGCCAGUCUGCGUGGAGCCAACCUUGAAAUACCACCCUUUAAUGUUUGAUGUUCUAACGUUGGCCCCUUACCGGGGUUGCGGACAGUGUCUGGUGGGUAGUUUGACUGGGGCGGUCUCCUCCCAAAGCGUAACGGAGGAGCACGAAGGUUAGCUAAUCCUGGUCGGACAUCAGGAGGUUAGUGCAAUGGCAUAAGCUAGCUUGACUGCGAGCGUGACGGCGCGAGCAGGUGCGAAAGCAGGUCAUAGUGAUCCGGUGGUUCUGAAUGGAAGGGCCAUCGCUCAACGGAUAAAAGGUACUCCGGGGAUAACAGGCUGAUACCGCCCAAGAGUUCAUAUCGACGGCGGUGUUUGGCACCUCGAUGUCGGCUCAUCACAUCCUGGGGCUGAAGUAGGUCCCAAGGGUAUGGCUGUUCGCCAUUUAAAGUGGUACGCGAGCUGGGUUUAGAACGUCGUGAGACAGUUCGGUCCCUAUCUGCCGUGGGCGCUGGAGAAUUGAGGGGGGCUGCUCCUAGUACGAGAGGACCGGAGUGGACGCCAUCACUGGUGUUCGGGUUGUCAUGCCAAUGGCACUGCCCGGUAGCUAAAUGCGGAAGAGAUAAGUGCUGAAAGCAUCUAAGCACGAAACUUGCCCCGAGAUGAGUUCUCCCUGAAGACUUUAAGUCUCCUGAAGGAACGUUAAAGACGAUGACGUUGAUAGGCCGGGUGUGUAAGCGCAGCGAUGCGUUUGAGCUAACCGGUACUAAUGAACCGUGAGGCUUAACCUU
rnacentral:rRNA from 1 species